UGAACUCAGGACCUUCUGUUUGCGAGGCUGGCAGCACAGUAAAGGAAGGGGAAAAAAACAGGAUCAUCUUGACUAAUUCAGGGAUAAAAUUUGACAAAACUCAACAUCCUUUUUUUUCUUUUUAAAGAAGAACUCAACAAACUAGCAAUGAAAGUAAACCACCAUAACAAACAAAUACCAUGUGGUGUAUGAAAAGCUCACAGCUGACAUUACACUGAAUAGCAGAAGACUGCGAUCUUUCCCUUGAGGUUCAGCAAGACAGCUGCUGUGGGACUUUUGCUCCAACAAUAAUUGGGAUCCAGAAAAGAAGUCCCAGGUUCCAGGCAUUCUCUGCAUUACUAUUUUGAAAAAUAAGGAUAGAACCAGACUAUCUUCCAAGAAGUAGUGCUGUAUUACGUCAAAUCUGCUCUCCUACCCCUCCACAACCAUUGCACCGUCAUCAGAGAGCACCCCACCUUGUCUCCCUACCCUCCAGUCACAGACCACGUCAAAC